GUGGCCAAGUUUUUAAGGGCGCACGGUGGAUGCCUUGGCACCAGGAACCGAUGAAGGACGUGAGAGGCCGCGAUAGGCCCCGGGGAGCUGCCAACUGAGCUUUGAUCCGGGGGUGUCCGAAUGGGGAAACCCGGCAGUCGUCAUGGGCUGUCACCCAUGCCUGAACACAUAGGGCAUGUGGAGGGAACGAGGGGAAGUGAAACAUCUCAGUACCCUCAGGAAGAGAAAACAACCGUGAUUCCGGGAGUAGUGGCGAGCGAAACCGGAUGAGGCCAAACCGUAUGCGUGUGAUACCCGGCAGGGGUUGCGCAUGCGGGGUUGUGGGAAUGAGCUUUCACAGUCUGCCGGCUGUGAGGCGAGUCAGAAACCGUAUGGAUAGGCGAAGGACAUGCGAAAGGUCCGGCGUAGAGGGUAAGACCCCCGUAGCUGAAAUCUGUACGGCUUGCUUGCUCAUCUCCCAAGUAGCACGGGGCCCGAGAAAUCCCGUGUGAAUCUGGCGGGACCACCCGCUAAAGCCUAAAUAUUCCCUGGUGACCGAUAGCGGAUAGUACCGUGAGGGAAUGGUGAAAAGUACCGCGGGAGCGGAGUGAAAUAGUACCUGAAACCGUGUGCCUACAAGCCGUGGGAGCGUCGGACGUACUUGUACGUCUCGUGACUGCGUGCCUUUUGAAGAAUGAGCCUGCGAGUUAGCGGUGUGUAGCGAGGUUAACCCGUGUGGGGAAGCCGUAGCGAAAGCGAGUCCGAAUAGGGCGAUUGAGUUGCACGCUCUAGACCCGAAGCGGAGUGAUCUAGCCAUGGGCAGGUUGAAGCGGAGGUAAGACUUCGUGGAGGACCGAACCCACCAGGGUUGAAAACCUGGGGGAUGACCUGUGGUUAGGGGUGAAAGGCCAAUCAAACUCCGUGAUAGCUGGUUCUCCCCGAAAUGCAUUUAGGUGCAGCGUCGUGUGUUUCUUGCCGGAGGUAGAGCACUGGAUAGGCGAUGGGCCCUACCGGGUUACUGACCUUAGCCAAACUCCGAAUGCCGGUAAGUGAGAGCACGGCAGAGACUGUGGGGG
rnacentral:rRNA from 1 species